GUGAACAUACCUACAUGUUGCUUCGGCGGUCGGCCCCCCGGGCCCCCGGCCCCGCUCACGCGGGGCGUCCGCCGGAGGAUAACCAAACUCUGAUUUAACGACGUUUCUUCUGAGUGGCACAAGCAAAUAAUCAAAACUUUUAACAACGGAUCUCUUGGUUCUGGCAUCGAUGAAGAACGCAGCGAAAUGCGAUAAGUAAUGUGAAUUGCAGAAUUCAGUGAAUCAUCGAAUCUUUGAACGCACAUUGCGCCCGCCAGCAUUCUGGCGGGCAUGCCUGUUCGAGCGUCAUUUCAACCCUCAAGCACUGCUUGGUGUUGGGGCUCUACGGUUGACGUAGGCCCCCAAAACUAGUGGCGGACCCUCUCGGAGCCUCCUUUGCGUAGUAACUUUUGUCUCGCACUGGGAUUCGGAGGGAUUCUAGCCGUUAAACCCCCAAUUUUCUAAAGGUUGACCUCG
rnacentral:rRNA from 1 species